GUGCUGGGAUUACGGCCAUGAGCCACCACACCCAAGAACUUAAUACCUUGUUUUAAAAAAUCAUAAUGGGCUGGUUAAAUGCUUACGUUAAUGUUUAUUUUUAAACAUGUAAUCUGUGACGUUUCAGCUUUUCAUAGCACUUCUCGUGUGAACAUUUAAAAAAGGCCCUUUAGUCGUGGGGAAGAAGGAGUUAUCCCUUUCAGCAGAGGGAGAUGGAGGAACAGGCGCUGGUGGGUCUGAGCACAGGCAGUCACCCCAGCCUUGGUGCUUGCUUAGGUCUGUUCUCCGUUCACCGUAGCCGCUUCCACUCUCAUUGUCAGCUUAAAAAUAAGCAUUUUCCUCUUUCUAAUCGGAACAGUUAGUUUGUUAACCAUCACGUGAAGGUAUCGAGAAUGAUGGCUUUCAGGCCUCAGAAAUGAGACAAGUAGUAAAUGCAGCUGACCCUGAACAACAUAGGUUUUGAGCUUCGAAGGAUCACUUAUGUUAAUUAUUUUCCAACCAAACCCUUACUGAAAAAACCUGGCUUUGUGGAGGGCCGACGUUUCCUACAUGCGGUUCCAUAGGGUGGCCGCGGGGUCCUGUGGAUACGUAGAUUUGGGUCAACUCGGGGCGUGUUCUGGAAUCCAUGUCCCUGUGGACACAGAGGGACAACUGCAGCUUUUUAAAAGUUUGUGUCCUGCCUUGUCCUAAAAAGGCUCCAAGGUGGAUGCAAAAUUAUUUCAUUCUUUUGGUUUUCUUGGUGGGAUAUUGAUGUUUAUUCUUCAGUGUCUAAAAUCCUGAGAGAACAGAGUUAGUGCUUCAGGAACAAAGCCAGUCUGGAAACACAUAUUGAGAUAUCCACCUUUUCUUCAUGGUUUCACAAAAGCCAUGAUCAUAUUUUAUUCAGUUGAACCGUAGGAAACUGCCAAUAUUUGCUGUUUUUGGCCUAGAAAAUGGCAAGUUCGUACGAUAUUAAAAACAAAGGCUGCCUGGAUGGGGAACAUAGGAAUCGGUAAGAACCUGAAGUUGUCUGUCAUGGCCUCUGAGUCACAGGUAAAUAAACCUGCGUGAGGGGAAGUUGGCUGUACAGUAUUUUCCUUCUGUUUAGAGACUGUCAGAAAAAGGUGAGUUCCAUUGCGUUGGGUCCCUUUGCCUCACCUUUGCUGCAGAGGGGACUUGCCAUUAUUGCUCUUGUUCCCAGUGCCCAGGAGGCUGAUGCCACAUAGAAGACCUGCAGAUCGGCGGAUGUGAAACAGGCAUCGGACACGCUGUGCACCUUGGGACGCAUCUGAGAAGUGUGUGCUUGCAGGAGGUCUGAGCUCCGUGUCUGACCGGUGUCUCCCAGUCUGCAACAGGACGUUCACGUGACUUGGCGCCAUCGUCCCACUCUGUGUAGACGUCUGAGGAUCUGUGCGCGGCUGCUCUGUGAGAAUGAGUUGUGAUAAUGAACUGAGAAACAGUGAACAAACCCUGAAUUGGUUAGCACUGGUUCCACGGCCACUUCUGCCGUGGUUGGAGUCAUUCAUAAUAAAGUGUGCUGGACUCCUAUGCAGAGAUCUGAAUUUCAGAGGCCCUUUAACUCGCCAGCUAACUAGCCGCUUCCUUCAGAAGACAUUUGAGUCCCCUUUACCUGCCAGGGUGACCCUGGGAGUUUGAAGAUGAGUGAGACAAGCCCUCCGUGUCUUGUGGAUUUUACUGUCCAGAGGGGAGACAGAUGUGGAUGGCGAAGGAGGCCCUAUCAGAGGUCAGCGCACGUCAGUUUUGUUUCUUCAGCACUUGCUGUGUUCAGGCGGUGCCCCGGGCCAUGUGCAGAGCAUCUGGGGACCCUGCCCAUGGCAUCCUAGGCACAGCUAGCAUCUGCGCCAUCUUCAUACUUGGCCUGAGUUUUGGGGAAGUACCGAGGAUGGCUUCUGCCUUUGCUGGAGAGAGUUGGAAGUCAGGGCAGCCCUCCACAAGGAGAUGAUCGCCAGCUGAUUCCUCAAGAAAGAGAGUAUUGAUCUUGACAAGGGAAAUGGUGAGAACCAAAUGUGCCGCCCAGCUUGGGCCUUGCCGUUGGCAGAAGACCCUGGCGGGCAACAGACUGGAGACUCGGAGACCGAGGGGAGAAUUCUCACGCCAUGACGCUGGUGCAGUCUGUGCUUCUGGACUCUUGCGGGAGGGAGCGGCCCCUUUGCCUUGCAGGCUUCGGUGCAGUGGAGACCUUAGGACCUGCCCCUCCUGGCACACCUGUGGGUGUGGCGAGCAGUGCCAGGGCUGAGGCACAGGUGUUGAGCCCGGAACGUGGGACGGGAGAGGCUGCACACGCCGGCAGGCGUCUGCUCCAGCAGCCGGGGGUUUCCGCAAGGGGGCAGGGCGUUGGUUUUCCUCCUUGAAUUUGGGUGGGGAGGGUGUCCUGGGGUGCUGUGUCUGCACUUGUGUUGCUCUGAGGUCAAGUUGUGGCCUCGAGUCCCUGUCCCUCUGCCAAAGUGAGGGUUUGCCCAUUUUCAGGUCAGAUUUCCCUUGGGUCCGGGCCUCUAGGAGUGGGGGGCAUUCGAAGGGGCCGUGAGCACGGUGGACGCGCGUGGGUCCUCUUCCUCUCCCCUCAGCUCCUGGGCUGUGUGUGAAGAGCUGCCCAGCGGAAUCACCCUCCUGCCUGGUGUUUCAUUCACCACAAAUCGUUCUCACUGUGGACUCUUGAGUCAAAUGUAAUCCAGGAAUGGAACGUGCUGUUGCUGGAUGCCACACACAGCAUCAGGAGCCUAGUUGGGGAUUCUAUGAUCUUACCCCACACCUUAAAAGUAAAGACUAGAGUUGUCAGGCCUCUGAGCCCAAGCCAAGCCAUCGCAUCCCCUGUGACUUGCACGUAUAUACGCCCAGAUGGCCUGAAGUAACUGAAGAAUCACAAAAGUGCAAAUGCCCUGGACUUAACUGAUAACGUUCUACCAGAAAUAAGUGAAAAUGGCCAGUCCUUGCCUUAAGCGAUGAUUUGUGUGUGUGUGUGUGAAAUUCCUUUUCCUGGCUCAUCCUGGCUCAAAAAGCUCCCCCACUGAGCACCUUGUGAUCCCCACUCCUGCCCGCCAGAGAACAACCCCCCUUUGACUGUAAUUUUCCUUUACCUAUACAAAUCCUAUAAAAUGGCCCCACAGUUAACUCCCUUCGCUCUUUUUGAACUCAGCCCGCCUGCACCCAGGUGAAAUAAACAGCCAUGUUUCGCUCACAAAGCCUGUUUGGUGGUCUCUUCACACGGGCGUGCAUGACAAUAGUUAAGGGGAUACUGAAGUCUUUGGCAGCUCCAAGAGCUUUUUCAGUUUGUGUCAGGGCAUUUUAGGCAGAAGGAAAAGCUUGCUUAGAGAAUCUUACAGAAAUGUUUGGUGCAGUGCCAUUCACUCGUGGAAUAAAUGUGUAACUUUCCAUGGCGGCCCUCUGGAAAGAGAUGCACUCUGAGUGCACCCUGGCCUGCUCGCUACAAGAAUCGGCCGUGUCACCCCGCCUUCCGUGGGUCUGCAGAUGUGCGUGGUUCAUCGCCCUGCACUGUGGCCAUGGAAGGGAAGAUGAUCUGGAAUGCUGGCGACAGUUAUCGGUGCGUGUUGAUGUGUGCUGCUUUCUACAGGGGAGAACAUUUCUGUUUAAUAAACAUCUCAUCACGAUGAUGACUGCAAGAUAUGUGAGUCUCAUUCAGUAGUGUUUCUGGGUUCCUUCUGGUUUUAAUCUGCUUUCUAGCACUAGGCAAGUGAAGACAUGGAAAGUAAAAACCCAUCGAACUUGUAGAGACAAGGUGUUGUGUAGGAGCAGACUGUAGCCUCUGGCUCUGUUUAAAGAUUGUAGUAAACCUCUUACCUGGCAUGGUCAGGGUGUAAAUUAUCUUGUUUAAUCGAAAUGUGUAUGAGUCAAAGCUGGCGCCUGCAUUGUUGAUGAAAUACCAGAUUUUAAGGGAACAUGUCAAUGUGCCGUAAGAUACCAACAAAGUUCCUCACUGAGGUUCGGUGCGGGUUCGGAGGAGCUGGGCCUCAGGUCACUAGGGUCGUCUCUGGGAGCAGAUGCUCAGUGUGGGCAUUAGUCACUUAGCCUUUCCAGAGCCGAGGAACAGCUCUCUGUGGUGGUUUUUGGAACCUGUAUUUAGAGUCAGUUUGUCCCACUUGACUCGAAGUUGCUGCGCAAUUUCAGACUUUUGCCUCCACCGUGCGCUCGUUUUCUUGUCUCCUGAUAACUGCCUCGGUUGCCCCGGCCUGACAUUCGAGCCACGUCUUUCAUGGACACAGGCUCCGUGGUGGGGCAAAGGCCGCGACUCCGGCUUGCACAGUUCCGUGCCUCUCACCAUGGUUUAUCACAUCACUCCCGGGAUCUCCCGUUUAGGGGAAGAGUGUCCGUUUCCUGCAGGCCCUGUGUGGUGUGGAAAGCACCCCUACCUACCUUUCUCCUGUUUGAACUGUACCGUGAAGCUAUUUCUGUUCUAGUCAGCCGUCAGAAUUUAAGGAACAGUGAUUUAUGUAACUUAUCACACGCUUCUCAGCAGUUCUUGAUGAAUUUCAUUCUGUUGAGAAAUGAUUGCAGUUAUCACGGCUAUGCUGGUCUCACGUUGAGGCCCUUGAAAUGAAUUCCCUUCCCCAUUGUGUGUUAAGGUUGUGCCUGGGAGCUGUUGAGGCCUCACCUCUGCUUAGGGCAGUGGCUUUGCUCUCCUGACAACAGGAAGAAUCUUUUUUUUUUUUUUUUGAGACGAGUCUUGCUCUGUCGCCCGGGCUGGAGUGCAGUGGCCGG